GUCAGGAUGGCCGAGCGGUCUAAGGCGCCAGACUCAAGGUAUCCCUUGGCUUGCUAAUACGAGCUUAAUUGAGCGUUCUGGUCCUCAUCUGAGGGCGUGGGUUCGAAUCCCACUUCUGACA
rfam:Acyrthosiphon pisum strain LSR1 Contig18012, whole genome shotgun sequence.